rnacentral:rRNA from 1 species
UACGUAGGGUGCAAGCGUUGUCCGGAAUUAUUGGGCGUAAAGAGCUCGUAGGCGGUCUGUCGCGUCGGCUGUGGAAAACCCGGGGCUCAACCCCGGGCCUGCAGUCGAUACGGGCAGACUAGAGUGCGGUAGGGGAGACUGGAAUUCCUGGUGUAGCGGUGAAAUGCGCAGAUAUCAGGAGGAACACCGGUGGCGAAGGCGGGUCUCUGGGCCGUAACUGACGCUGAGGAGCGAA